AGAGUGGCUAAUACCGCAUACGCCCUACGGGGGAAAGGGGGGGAUCGCAAGACCUCUCACUAUUGGAGCGGCCGAUAUCGGAUUAGCUAGUUGGUGGGGUAAAGGCUCACCAAGGCAACGAUCCGUAGCUGGUUUGAGAGGACGACCAGCCACACUGGGACUGAGACACGGCCCAGACUCCUACGGGAGGCAGCAGUGGGGAAUUUUGGACAAUGGGGGAAACCCUGAUCCAGCCAUCCCGCGUGUAUGAUGAAGGCCUUCGGGUUGUAAAGUACUUUUGGCAGAGAAGAAAAGGUAUCCCCUAAUACGGGAUGCUGCUGACGGUAUCUGCAGAAUAAGCACCGGCUAACUACGUGCCAGCAGCCGCGGUAAUACGUAGGGUGCAAGCGUUAAUCGGAAUUACUGGGCGUAAAGCGUGUGUAGGCGGUUCGGAAAGAAAGAUGUGAAAUCCCAGGGCUCAACCUUGGAACUGCAUUUUUAACUGCCGAGCUAGAGUAUGUCAGAGGGGGGUAGAAUUCCACGUGUAGCAGUGAAAUGCGUAGAUAUGUGGAGGAAUACCGAUGGCGAAGGCAGCCCCCUGGGAUAAUACUGACGCUCAGACACGAAAGCGUGGGGAGCAAAC
rnacentral:rRNA from 1 species